GCCAAUUGAGCAGCAGGGGCAGGGCAGUCUCCCCGCGGGAUGCUGGGUGGGGCCCCUCUGCCCCACAGAACAUUCCAGGUACCAGCAAUGGGGAGCACAUUCCAAGUCUAGGAGCGGCUACAGAGAAGGCCCACCUCUUGGUCGCCAACAGACAUUCCGGUGGCAACUGGAGCCGGACCUCCUCAGAUGAUCUUAGCGUGUGGUGGGGAUCAGACCGAAGAAGGCGCUCUCACUCUUGUAAUUGUGAGCAACGAGGGGAUAGUUUUUGCUCUUGCAGAAUGAGGCGAUCUUUAAUAUCCUGAUCAAACAACAGAAAUUGGCUGCCAUCUUCUGACACUCCAGCGAUAAUGUACCGUAAUUUUGCUAAAGUAAUUGUCCUGAUUCCAUUGUAGAGAAACCCUUUUGCCAUUUUUACUACAAAAAAAUGAGACAUUAUUCAAGAGAUGGAAUAUGACUGGUAAUGGCCUCAGAAAAUUACCGCACGGAAUCAUUUAGCACCUGAUAAACUAUCUAAAGUUUUCACACUGAAAAGUCCUACCAAAGGCUGCGUCUACCAUGUGGGACAGAUUGUGACAUUGAAAUUUCAAGGCAGCAAGGAUACAUGAGUUCAUUCUGUGCCAUUUUUUCAUUUAUGUACAGUGAAAAAGUGCAACGCAUUCCACAA